GACCCCGUUUCCUCUGACUGAAAGAUGUGGCGGAGGGGCUUCCCAUCUGCGUCGCCUCCCUCGGGCAGGCAGCUCUGAGAUGCCCGGAGGGAUGCGAUGCCCCAUCGCCAAACUGGGGCCUCUAAGGUCAGGGCCAUGCCUUCCCCUCAGACUGAGGCGGCUGAGGGCAGGAUCCUCAGACUGAUGGCUGUGGGAGCCGUGCCACGCCCCUCGUGCCCCCGUGAGGCCGGGCCGGGGGUCCCGUGGCUUCACAUGGUGCUGUUCUGGGCUUUGGCCACCAGAUGGCAGCCGAGGCUAAGGGAUGGGGCCGCCGCUUCCCGUCCCGCUGUCCUUGUGCCUCUAAGCCCCGGGACCCUGGACCAGGGAACGGAGGGAGGGCCACUCAACCCAAGGAAGAUGCCUCCCUUUUCUUCCUCCACUCCCCGGUAUGAUACAUGCCCCUUCCAGAGAGGGAAAGAAUCUGCCCGCUCCCCUCCCACUAGGCUCCUCUGGUCUGUACCCUGGAAAGAGAGGCGGCGGAUUCUGAGACUCAUCUUCGUGACCCCCUGCCUGCACCCGCCCUGAGGCUAGGGCGCUCCCAGCUCUGCCCAGUCUGGGUUAGGCGUCCAGCCCCCGUUUGCUGCUUCUCUGCUUCUGACUUGGGUCUGCAUCUGAUUCCUGGGUCCCAUCCUUAGCCCCAGGCCCUGACCCCUUGUCGUGAUGACAGGCAGUUUAGAUAGGCCGUGGUUAGAAAUGCAGCUCCACAGGCUACAGGUCACCUUCCUGAGCCUCGGUUUCUUCAUCUGCAGAAAGGGGUUGUGGUGAGGUUGAGUGAGAUGACUCGUGGUUAGAAGCCAGAAAGAGCAACUCUUAUUUUUACCGUCAUUACCCUGGGCUCCCUGGGGAGUGAUCUUGCACAGUCUCUUCCUCUCCAGGGGCCUGGGCUCCUGGCUUUGAAAAUCUAGCUGUGACUAUUAGCUGCCAUCCAGAGACCCACUGCCUCCUCGAGUCCCUACUCUCCCUGCUACCCGGCUUUCAGAUUGUCCACCUUGUUGGGUCCUCCCACAGACGAACUCCAGGCUGAACACCUGGAGUCUGGCACCAGCUCCCCCAAUGCCUCUGUGUCACCUGCUGGAGGACCUCACCACCCCAGGUCACCACCCCCAUCUCCUUCACCCUCUCCACCACCUCAACCAUCAGCUUCAUCUGCAGCACCCCAUGCUGAAACUUGUAGUUGACCUCAAGACCGACAGGCUGCCUGAUAUGUCAUUUCUUUGAGGGGUGGUCAUGGCUGGGAUGAUAUGCUGUUGUCUCUGUGAACACUUUUCCCACUUAUUGGCUAAGCAAGUUGCUUAAGCUCCCUAUGCCUCAGUUUCACCAUCUGUAAAAUGGGGAUACCACCUCUGAACAGGAUCGUGCUCAUUUAUUCACUGCGUGCUACAGAGUGGGGUAUGAAGGGGGGAUAAGAAAGAGAACCUCCCCUGGGCUGGGGCCCUGGGCAGGGAAGUGGUGACUGGUGCUAACGAGGGCUGCGGUGGGGAAGUGCUGGAGCCUAUGGGUGUACCACAGCAACAGAGGACACCUGGCUUAACCUCAGGUUCUGUGCUGAGCCCUGAACAUGACAGUGAGGAUAUAAAGCCUGGGAAACGCUCAGCUCUCUGCCUGGAACCCUCGCUGACAGCGCAGGUGGCCGCACAACCUUUCCAUUUCCGAGCCCCUGCCCUCAGAGGAUUAUGAAAUUAAAAAUUAGCAAAUGCCAUGACGAGGCUUAUGUGGUGCCAGGCACCGUUCUGAGUGCCUUAUGCUUAUGAACUCAGUCCUUGUAGCAGCACGUGGGGAAGGUGUUAUCAUUACUCCCAUUUUACAGGUGAGGAAACCGAGGACCAGUGAGAUGACAUCACUUGCUCAGGGUGGCGCAGCUUGUAUGGUGAAGCAGGGCGUGAAACCAGACAGGCUGGUGGCGGAGUCCACACCUUCACUCCUCCCCUAUGAAAUGGCCACCUCAUGGGGCAUCGUGGGAAUUAAAGUGUCUGCAGGCAAAGCUCGUAACUCUGAGCGGGAGCCUCCAAACAACAGCAUCCUAGCAGGGAGGUGUGCACGUACCUUGCUGAUGUCAGGGGACCUGGAACGGCCACCCUCUGCAUCGCUGAGGGCUUUGGUGAUGGCGAACUGGAUGGCCAGGCCAGUCAUGGUGCCUGUGGACAGCGGCUGGAUGCGGCGCACAGCCUGCAGCAGGGCGGCCUUGGAAACGUGAGCCCGCAGAGAGAACUCCUGCUUCACGGUGCUGGCAUAGUUGACCAUGCCCACCCGGGUGGCAUUGGGCCCCACGUCCAGCGACUCGAUGACCUGGGACAGGAAUACCUUCACCUUCUCAAAUUCUACAGGCCGCACACUGCGGGAGCUGUCGACAACAAACACCAGGGUCACACAAGGGCCAUCGACGGUGACCAAGGAUGAGAAAUGUACAGUGCUGUCCUCGUGCCAUGCUGGAGGUGAACGAGGAGAACGUGAGCUGGGGUGUCCUCACCAACUGCGCACGCCCCCCCGCAACUCCCCUGACGGCCAGGGCUGUGUCUGGGGCUCAGGGCACAAGGCUCCAUUAGCUGGGCAGCAGCUGGCCCAUGAAACAGCCCUUUCAGCUCCACCUCUGAAUGGCAGUUCUAUGGGCUCGUCGGAGGAACACAGGCGCCUUCUCUGUGUCACUUCUGCGCUCAUUAGCAGAGCUGUAGAAAUAUACUACAGGACUCAAAAUCGAGAACAGUGUGUCUGGUAUGAGCCAGAAGAAAAAAAAAAUGCACGGAGAGGCCUUCUGUGUAGUUGCUCACAAGGCAAACAGUAAAGGGCUCUGCUGUUCCCUCCUCCUGUUUUCACAUCCCUCGGGCUUCCAGAAACUUAAAGCCAUUAGUGUUUAAUGCAAGAGAGAGCAUUUGUGAUCCACGGAGAGGCCCCUGGACAGUGUGGUUCAGUGGGAAGCACCCAGGACUCCCUCUCCAGUGCUCCCAGGAUCAACUCUUUCCCUCAAGAGCAAACUGGUUAACUUGCAAUAACCUAGCUAACCAGAUGCAACAUCAGCCGGGGCAGGCUGCCCCCUUCACUCUUCGCUCACCAUCAUCAGUUUGGCAGUAUCCACAUACACCUUUACCAGUACUUAUUUAAUCUUUUUGUAUAAUUCACUCUAAACCAACUCACUUCUUAAAAAUUUCUCUGCCUUCUAAGAAAUAAUAGCCAUGAAAUCAC